rnacentral:rRNA from 1 species
GAGAGUUUGAUCCUGGCUCAGGACGAACGCUGGCGGCGUGCCUAACACAUGCAAGUCGAGCGGAGGGGAUAGGAGCUUGCUCCUUGAACCUUAGCGGCGGACGGGUGAGUAACACGUGGGUAACCUGCCCUUGAGAGGGGGAUAACAGGUCGAAAGGCCUGCUAAUACCGCAUAACGCUAAGAUGCCGCAUGGCGUCUUAGCCAAAGGUUAAUUCCGCUCAAGGAUGGGCCCGCGGCCCAUUAGCUAGUUGGUGAGGUAAUGGCUCACCAAGGCGACGAUGGGUAGCCGGCCUGAGAGGGUGGUCGGCCACACUGGGACUGAGACACGGCCCAGACUCCUACGGGAGGCAGCAGUGGGGAAUAUUGCGCAAUGGGGGGAAACCCUGACGCAGCGACGCCGCGUGAGCGAUGAA